CAACAUUUUGACUCAUCAUCGAUUUUAAGCGUUGAUGCUAAAAUGUGGAUACUUUUUAGGUGCUGGUGAAGGGAACCCUAAAGGAAAGCUAUCCAGUGUACGUCUUCCCUUUAUAUAAGUACACGAAUGACACGAUUUGAAAUAUUGAAAUUACUCUAGAGGAAAAACAAACGUUUUAAAUUUGUAGAUCAAAACUCAUGAUGUCACAAGUCGAUGACAAUGAAAUGGACACGCGCUUUGAGGAGAUGGCAGAGAUUGGAAAGGAAAGCAGCGCCGAAACUCAGAUUAACUCAACAGCGCUCGAACCUGACAAAGACGAAAAGAUCAAGG